rnacentral:rRNA from 1 species
GAUGAACGCUAGCUACAGGCUUAACACAUGCAAGUCGAGGGGCAGCGCAGUGUAGCAAUACACGGGCGGCGACCGGCGCACGGGUGCGUAACGCGUAUCCAACCUUCCCGUUACUCUCGGAUAGCCUUCCGAAAGGGAGAUUAAUACGAGAUGGUGUUGAAAUUCCGCAUGUUAUUUCAACUAAAGAUUUAUCGGUAACGGAUGGGGAUGCGUGACAUUAGGUAGACGGCGGGGUAACGGCCCACCGUGGCGACGAUGUCUAGGGGUUCUGAGAGGAAGGUCCCCCANACUGGAACUGAGACACGGUCCAGACUCCUACGGGAGGCAGCAGUGAGGAAUAUUGGUCAAAUGGUCUGACGACUGAACCAGCCCAAAGUCGCGUGAGGGAAGACUGCCCUAUGGGUUGUAAACCUCUUUAGUCGGGGAGCAAAAAAGCGGACGUGUCCGCCAUUGAG